CGUCUCGGUGGGCGUGGUCACCUGGUACCGCCCCCUCGUCUCGAGCCACGCGCUUCCCCCUGGCAGUUGGUCCGUGAGAGAGGCGGGGAGAAACUCUGGCGAAGAGACCUGGACUGCGCGAGAGACGCUGUGAGUUCUGUGCACCCUGCUCUGCAAGUUGCCACCAUGGAGAUGAGCCAAUCUGGAGAGGCGAGGAAUAAGGGCGAAUCUUGUACCACGUGGAGGGCGCUGUCCUCAGAGGGCACCAUCUGCAUCAAAUCACCGCAAGGUAAGAACAGGAAUGAGGGAUGUCACAGAGGGCCAUGGGGAAUGGUGGAACAUCCCGAUGGCCAUGUUGCAUGGUGGAUGUCACAGUGGCCAUGAUGCAUUGACGAUUUCAUAGCGGCCAUGAUGCAUGAGUGAUAUCCAGGUGGCCAAGUUGCAUGGGGGACUUCAUGUUGGCAGUGUUGUAUGGGGGACUUAAUGGUAGCCAUGUUGCAUGGGGGACUGCACCAUGGUGGCCAUGUUGCAUGGGGAUGAUUAUUUGUGCUCUGGCCUCAGCACAUCACACGCUUUCAGAUGCGCUUCCGAUAUUAGGAAGCCACUGGAGCGAUACACUUUUAAAUCAUCUAGAUUGAAAACUCAUUUCUUGAGAACUUAUUUGGGGCAUCAAGUCCGAUUUAGUUACAUUUAAUUUGUAUCCCGAAGCACCUCCAUAUUCCGUCACUAAGGCCAGAACGGCGGGGAAUGAGGCCUCCGAAUUUGGGUGAUGAGCAGGCGUCGCCACCCCACGCCAGCAGGGGGCGGCAUAAGGGUAGCCGGUUCGUGAAGACCUGGCCCACGCCGCCUGGAACAGUGGAGAAGUAUCAAGAAGCGUGAUAAGGGAGGGUGGCUUUCUACAAGGGGUAGGAGUGGUCCCUUCAUCGCGCCUUCUUCUCUCGUGAUUAGACUGCUCUUUCUCUCCAUCGCGAUGCUCAAUGUUUACUUUCAGUCGGAACGCUCCGGAUCGCUACACCGGGAAUAAUUUUGCACUCGCACUCACCAGCGUGAUGAAAUAUUAUCAAAUGACCCCCAUUGUUAACGCGACGUACGGGAAGGGCCUUCAUCCGUUGUGCUGAGAAUGACUGGAAUGGAUUUUAUUUUUGACGCAUGCUGCAGUAUCCUGCAUUUGGGGAGUGGCAGUUUCUUGACAGUCUAAUUGGGGACAGUGAAAACACAGGAGUUGUCAGAUAUUGCCACACUCGGAAUGAGGAAACUGAGAAGUGAUGGGAGUGGAAGUGGAGGGCAUUUGUUCCAAAGAGGACG